rnacentral:rRNA from 1 species
UACGAGUGGUGCAAGCGUUAUUCGGAAUUACUGGGCGUAAAGGGUGCGUAGGUGGCAUAUUAAGUCAACUGUUAAAUUCCCCGGCUUAACUGGGGGUCAGCGGUAGAAACUGAUAUGCUAGAGGUUGGAAGAGAGAAGUGGAAUUCUUGGAGUAGCGGUAAAAUGCGUAGAUCUCAAGAGGAACACCGAUGGCGAAGGCAGCUUCUUGGUCCAUACCUGACACUGAGGCACGAAAGCGCGGGGAGCAAACAGG